GAUGAAGAACGUAGCGAAAUGCGAUAAGUAGUGUGAAUUGCAGAAUUCAGUGAAUCAUCGAAUCUUUGAACGCACAUUGCGCCCCUUGGUAUUCCAUGGGGCAUGCCUGUUCGAGCGUCAUUUGUACCUUCAAGCUCUGCUUGGUGUUGGGUGUUUGUCUCGCCUCUGCGCGUAGACUCGCCUCAAAACAAUUGGCAGCCGGCGUAUUGAUUUCGGAGCGCAGUACAUCUCGCGCUUUUCACUCAUAACGACGACGUCCAAAAGUACAUUUUUACACUCUUGACCUCGGAUCAGGUAGGGAUACCCGCUGAACUUAAGCAUAUCAAUAAGCGGAGGA
rnacentral:misc_RNA from 1 species